rnacentral:rRNA from 1 species
UACGAAGGGGGCUAGCGUUGCUCGGAAUUACUGGGCGUAAAGCGCACGUAGGCGGAUUGUUAAGUCGGGGUGAAAUCCUGGAGCUCAACUCCAGAACUGCCUUCGAUACUGGCGAUCUCGAGUCCGGGAGAGGUGAGUGGAACUGCGAGUGUAGAGGUGAAAUUCGUAGAUAUUCGCAAGAACACCAGUGGCGAAGGCGGCUCACUGGCCCGGUACUGACGCUGAGGUGCGAAAGCGUGGGGAGCAAACAGG